AAAAGCUAUACGUUCGGGAAAACACGACUCACACAAUUACGGAUUCAAUUUCAGUUUCAAAACAACUUAUCCAACACAAUUAUUCAGCAUUCGACAAAUUCCAAUUAGGGUCAAUUCAACGGUUUAUCACUACCCAUUACAUGCUAACCCAUAAUACCCAUUAAACGACGAUAAACCCCCCUUACCUGAGUUAAUCCGGAAAUCUCUAAGCUCCAAGCUCUUCUCUGCUCCAAUCUUCUUCCUCUUGCUCUGCCUCUUUGCCCUUUCUCCUCUUUCUCAAUCGCUUCUCUGUUUCACGUGAAAACCUUUUCUUUACCAAAUGGGCUCUUUUU
rnacentral:lncRNA from 1 species